AUUGAACGCUGGCGGCAUGCUUUACACAUGCAAGUCGAACGGCAGCACGGGGGCAACCCUGGUGGCGAGUGGCGAACGGGUGAGUAAUGCAUCGGAACGUACCCAGUCGUGGGGGACAACGUAGCGAAAGUUACGCUAAUACCGCAUACGACCUGAGGGUGAAAGCAGGGGAUCGCAAGACCUUGCGCGAUUGGAGCGGCCGAUGUCAGAUUAGCUAGUUGGUGGGGUAAAGGCUCACCAAGGCGACGAUCUGUAGCGGGUCUGAGAGGAUGAUCCGCCACACUGGGACUGAGACACGGCCCAGACUCCUACGGGAGGCAGCAGUGGGGAAUUUUGGACAAUGGGGGCAACCCUGAUCCAGCCAUGCCGCGUGCGGGAAGAAGGCCUUCGGGUUGUAAACCGCUUUCGGACAGAAAGAAAUCGCAUGGGCUAAUACCCUGUGUGGAUGACGGUACUGUAAGAAGAAGCACCGGCUAACUACGUGCCAGCCGCCGCGGUAACAC
rnacentral:rRNA from 1 species